rnacentral:rRNA from 1 species
CCUACGGGGGGCUGCAGUGGGGAAUAUUGCACAAUGGGCGAAAGCCUGAUGCAGCGACGCCGCGUGAGGGAUGAAGGCCUUCGGGUUGUAAACCUCUUUCAGCAGGGAAGAAGCGAAAGUGACGGUACCUGCAGAAGAAGCACCGGCUAACUACGUGCCAGCAGCCGCGGUAAUACGUAGGGUGCGAGCGUUGUCCGGAAUUAUUGGGCGUAAAGAGCUUGUAGGCGGUUUGUCGCGUCUGCUGUGAAAAUCCGGGGCUCAACCCCGGACUUGCAGUGGGUACGGGCAGACUAGAGUGUGGUAGGGGAGACUGGAAUUCCUGGUGUAGCGGUGAAAUGCGCAGAUAUCAGGAGGAACACCAAUGGCGAAGGCAGGUCUCUGGGCCACCACUGACGCUGAGAAGCGAAAGCGUGGGGAGCGAACAGGAUUAGAUACCCCUGUAGUC